rnacentral:rRNA from 1 species
AAUCAACGCUGGCGGCGUGCCUCAGACAUGCAAGUCGAACGCUGCUGUUCGCCUUCGGGUGGACAGCGGAGUGGCGCACGGGUGAGUAACACGUAGGUAAUCUACCUUUGGGUGGGGAAUAACAGCCGGAAGCGGCUGCUAAUACCGCAUAAUGCAGCGGCAUCACAUGAUGACAGUUGUUAAAGCGGGGGAUCGUAAGACCUCGCGCCUGAAGAGGAGCCUGCGGCAGAUUAGGUAGUUGGUGAGGUAAUGGCUCACCAAGCCUGCGAUCUGUACCGGCCUGAGAGGGCGGUCGGUCACACUGACACUGACAUACGGGUCAGACUCCUACGGGAGGCAGCAGUCGGGAAUUUUGGGCAAUGGGCGCAAGCCUGACCCAGCAACGCCG